AUGGGCUACACUCUCUCCCACAGAAAACACGAACAGCACAAUGAAACCCUGCUAGAAGGCGGAUUUAGUAGUAAGACGGACAAGAAAAUCCAUCUUAAACCAGCCCUGGAGCGCGCACAC
rnacentral:rRNA from 1 species